UUUAACUGAAGAGUUUGAUCCUGGCUCAGAUUGAACGCUGGCGGAAUGCUUAACACAUGCAAGUCGAGCGGUAACACUUCGGGUGACGAGCGGCGGACGGGUGCGUAACGCGUGAGAAUCUACCUUUUAGUGGGGGACAACCCGGGGAAACUCGGGCUAAUACCGC
rnacentral:rRNA from 1 species